GCCAGACAAGGGAGGCUCACUUGCCUGGGUUACUUCUUGCUGGUGCCUCUGGAAAUCGUCUAGACUGUGGGAACCUGAGCCGGCCGGACAUGUGGCCUGGGGAGAGAAAGACAGACGAAAGUGUCAUACGCUGAGAGAGCUUAAGAGACUAACAGCCAGAUGCGCCAUGGAGACCUUGAGUGGAGCCUACUGGAACAAAAACAACUGUAGCAGCCCGCAGCCCACUGACAGACACCUGAAACACGCAGAGCGAGACCUUCUUCAGGCAACUCCUGGCUGCCCUACUCCCUUGGUGUUUGUGUUUUAUUAAAGACUGAAAAUAACUUUA